CCCACCCCAACCCCGCCCUCCCAAGACGACGAGCUAAAACAGUGACUAAAAGCACAGUGGCAGAAAAGAAAAAGCAGAAGAAUGAAUCACGAAGAUGGCACUGAUCCUUGGCUUUUUCAAAGGCUGGAAACGCCACCUUGGGAUGCAGCAGAGUACAAUCAACUCAUUUCUUCAGGGCCAUUGCUGCCACUACUAGAGCACUACGCGGGCAUCGCAGGUUCUUAUGACCAAACCACAAUCAGGGGGGCAGCAUGGCAAAUUUCGUUACAGGGCGCUAACGCUGACAAAUGUAGGGGCAACCAACUUCAGCUAGCUAAUGUGGCAAAUCAAGGACCUUCAUGCAGCACGUGGCAUCAGGCGGCAACCAUGUACCUGCCAUCAACGUCGUACAUAGGUUGUUACGGUGGAACCACAUCGGCAAACGUCUCAUGGCAAGCUUCACAGUUGCAGGAAAGCGCUAUUGCAGAUAGAGCACAUCAAAUUGGAAUGACAGACCACACAAGAUCGACACAUGCGGCACAACAAGGUAAAAAAAGUGAAAACAGAAAACAGUACUGCAUUUGCUUUUGUGGGGAAUAGCAUGUGAAGAAAAGUAGAUUUGUAACGGUGGUGGUGGAAAAAACAAACAAAAAAUGCUACCAAGUGGUCGUGUGCAAAGAGUCGUAUAUUGUCUUCGGGAUUUGCCAAUUGCUAUAAGAGUGUGUGCAACAUUCAUGAUUGUUCACAUUUGCGUAUUGGGCUCAAGCCUAGAGUACAAGUUUUGAUGCUAGAGUAUACUGGUUGCCAUGUGUUUGGCAACAGUAGUUGCCAUGUAUGUUGGACUAUAUCUGCCAUUGCUAUAUGCUGC